rnacentral:rRNA from 1 species
GCUUGCUCCCUUAGGUCAGCGGCGGACGGGUGAGUAACACGUGGGUAACCUGCCUGUAAGACUGGGAUAACUCCGGGAAACCGGGGCUAAUACCGGAUGCUUGAUUGAACCGCAUGGUUCCAAUCAUAAAAGGUGGCUUUCAGCUACCACUUACUGAUGGACCCGCGGCGCAUUAGCUAGUUGGUGAGGUAACGGCUCACCAAGGCGACGAUGCGUAGCCGACCUGAGAGGGUGAUCGGCCACACUGGGACUGAGACACGGCCCAGACUCCUACGGGAGGCAGCAGUAGGGAAUCUUCCGCAAUGGACGAAAGUCUGACGGAGCAACGCCGCGUGAGUGAUGAAGGUUUUCGGAUCGUAAAACUCUGUUGUUAGGGAAGAACAAGUACCGUUCGAAUAGGGCGGCACCUUGACGGUACCUAACCAGAAAGCCACGGCUAACUACGUGCCAGCAGCCGCGGUAAUACGUAGGUGGCAAGCGUUGUCCGGAAUUAUUGGGCGUAAAGCGCGCGCAGGCGGUUUCUUAAGUCUGAUGUGAAGCCCCCGGCUCAACCCGGGGAGGGUCAUUGGAAACUGGGGAACUUGAGUGCAGAAGAGGAGAGUGGAAUUCCACGUGUAGCGGUGAAAUGCGUAGAGAUGUGGAGGAACACCAGUGGCGAAGGCGACUCUCUGGUCUGUA